GCUGUGAGCAAUAGCUUGUGGAUAAUCCACAGGCCCCACUUCAUUCUUUGUAUACUAUCAUCACCAUCAAUGAACAGUGGGACCCCAAAUCCAAAAACAUAAAUUCCCUUAAAAAGUAUAUCCACACCCACAAUGAUUCCUGAGACAGCGAAAAUACGGGUUAAAGUUUCCAAUCCACUUGCAUAACUAUCCUGGAGCAAGAAAGCCAUUAAGCUAAUUUCCAAGCACAGCAUUGCGGAUCCUGUGAACAAUGACAGGAAAUUCCAAGCAAUCUCCUUCCCAGAAGAACAUUGCCAAGCCUGAAGACAGCACCAAGCGAGAUUGAGAGAGCUAGCCAACCAGAGAAGGGUAUAAUAGGAAAUCAUUAUGUAGGACCUCCCAUUCCAUAGCUUCCUCAAAUUCUUCUUCGCGUUGAUCCCCAAGUACACCACGAAUACGAUAGCCGGCAACACUAAAACAACACUGUACCAUGCCCCUUGACAUUUCCGGCCGCCGAUGGCAGGAAUGGUAUGGUCAGGCUGGAAGUCGAUUAUGGCGGG
rnacentral:misc_RNA from 1 species